rnacentral:lncRNA from 1 species
AUGUUUUCUUUCUUCUCUAUCUUUGUUUCAUUGUUUGUUGCAGUACUUCAGAUGUACUGCAUGCAUGUAGUAGUGUUGCUGGUAAGUGGUCACGAAAGGAAGGGUUUGCCAGGCAGAACCGAAUUAAGAAUGCAGCGAGCGUAGGGAGAAGGACGUGGAAAAGACUAGACCGGGAGAAGGACGUGGGGAAGAGUCAGACCGGACAUGUGGGCCCGACCUGUCAUCACUUGGAAAAAAUAGGAAAAAAAAUUAGAUGUGGUAAUUUGUGUCACACACAACUCACAAGUUUUCUUGUAGAUGAGGUC